rnacentral:rRNA from 1 species
GAUGAACGCUAGCUACAGGCUUAACACAUGCAAGUCGAGGGGUAACGAGAGGAAAGCUUGCUUUCCUUGUCGACGACCGGCGCACGGGUGAGUAACGCGUAUCCAACCUGCCCCCAACUAGGGAAUAACCUUGCGAAAGUAAGACUAAUACCCUAUAAUUUCCUCAGAUGUCAUCUGACGAGGAAUAAAGAUUUAUCGGUUGUGGAUGGGGAUGCGUCUGAUUAGCUUGUUGGCGGGGGAACGGCCCACCAAGGCAACGAUCAGUAGGGGUUCUGAGAGGAAGGUCCCCCACAUUGGAACUGAGACACGGUCCAGACUCCUACGGGAGGCAGCAGUGGGGAAUAUUGGACAAUGGGCGCAAGCCUGAUCCAGCCAUGCCGCGUGUGUGAAGAAGGCCUUCGGGUUGUAAAGCACUUUCAGUAGGGAGGAAGGGUGUUGUGUUAAUAGCACAGCAUUUUGACGUUACCUACAGAAGAAGCACCGGCUAACUCUGUGCCAGCAGCCGCCGUAA